rnacentral:rRNA from 1 species
GCUGGUUGAUCCUGCCCCAUGUCAAUGCUAUCGGGGUUCGAUUAAACCAUGCAAGUCAAUACGCCUCCGCCCUCGGCGUACUGCUCAUUAUCACCUGGAUAACCUGCCCUAAGGUAGGGGAUAACCCCGGGAAACUGGUGAUAAUACCCUAUAGAUUACAGAUGCUGGAAUGCCCUGUAAUCCAAAGUUCCGACGCCCUAUGAUGGAUCUGCGGCCGAUUACGUUGUUGUUGGGGUAAUGGCCCAACAAGCCCCUAAUCGGUACGGGUUGUGGGAGCAAGAGCCCAGAGUUGGAUUCUGAGACACGAAUCCACGCCCUACGGUGCGCAGCAGGCGCCAAAACUUUACAAUGCGGGCAACCGUGAUAAGGGAACCUCGAGUGCCUGUAAAUGCAGGCUGUUCAGGUGCCUAAAACACACCUGAAGAAAGGGCCGGGCAAGACCGGUGCCAGCCGCCGCGGUAAUACCGGCGGCUCGAGUGGUGGCCGCUUUUAUUGGGCUUAAAGCGUUCGUAGCUGGGUUGUUAAGUCUCUUGGGAAAUCUGGCGGCUUAACCGUCAGGCGUCUAAUGGAUACUGGCAAUCUUGGAACCGGGAGAGGUGAGGGGUACUUCGGGGGUAGGAGUGAAAUCCUGUAAUCCUCGAGGGACCACCUGUGGCGAAGGCGCCUCACCAGAACUGCUUCGACACUGAGGGACGAAAGCUGGGGGAGCAAACCGGAUGAGAUACCCGGGUAGUCCCAGCUGUAAACUAUGCGCGUUAGGUGUAUCGGUGACCACGAGUUACCGAGGUGCCGAAGGGAAACCGUGAAACGUGCCGCCUGGGAAGUACGGUAGCAAGGCUGAAACUUAAAGGAAUUGGCGGUGGAGCACCACAACAGGUGGAGCCUGCGGUUUAAUUGGACUCAACGCCGGGAAGCUCACCGGAUAAGACAGCAGAAUGAUUGUCGGGCUGAAGACUCUGCAUGACUAGCUGAGAGGAGGCUGCAUGGCCGUCGUCAGUUCGUACUGUGAAGCAUCCUGUUAAGUCAGGCAACGAGCGAGACCC